GAUUCGGAGACCGAGAGUCUCCUCUCCCUGGACCGCGCGGGACAGCAGAGGGGCGAGGGGGCCCGGGCAGGGGGCCGAGACGCUCAUGAAGACAGGUAGUCGGAGGCCAGGGCAGGGUGGCCGCCGCGUCUCUUCCCAGACUCGGGAAAGGAAACAGAAAGUAGUCGCUCAGCUGGGGAGGAGCAUGUCCGAGAAUGUCUACUUUUCGAGGCCACCCGAAACAAAAUGGAAAGAUGGUCAGGCUCCUUAGUCUCGCUAUCCUGUGAGUGGAAGCUCAUCUUGUAUGAGUGGAGCAGUGAAGGACGUUUAAAACCGUGUUUUUUGAGCUGUCGAGAAGCUGGUUCUAGUGAGCCCUACAUCAGAGCAGUAUGACAGCCUACUUCGGCAGAUGUGGGAGAGGAUGGACGAGGGAUGCGGAGAGACCAUAUAUGUCAUUGGGCAGGGAUCAGAUGGGACUGAGUAUGGGCUGAGUGAAGCUGACAUGGAGGCCUCCUACGCCACAGUG
rnacentral:lncRNA from 1 species